CUGUCGCAACUAUAUAUAUAUGUGCCAGAGGGCUUAUAUUUCCAUAAGGGACUCUUUCUCUGCUCAGUUGAAAUUUAUUUUUUAAUAGUGUCUACAUUCGAAUUGUACCGAUUAUUUGGGAAUGACUGACAAAUGUCUUCUAUUAGAGAAUCAGAGAAUGGAAUGAAACCGAACAUGGAAUGAAUGUUCCUUAUGAGGUGCUGACCAAGUGUUGUUACUUAGUUGCAGAUCCACAAUCCAAGCUGGCAGCCAGAAUUGCACUUGGUUUAAAAUAGGACCCUAUGAGAAAUGCAUACAAAUAUCUUCUUUUAGAGAACCACAGAAUGCAAUGCAAUAUUAAAC
rnacentral:lncRNA from 1 species